rnacentral:rRNA from 1 species
UUGACCACGGAUCAGG